rnacentral:rRNA from 1 species
AGUGAACGUUGGCGGCGUGGAUUAGGCAUGCAAGUCGAGCGAGAACCGUAGCAAUACGGGGACAGCGGCGAAAGGGACAGUAAUGUGUAGGUACCUACCCCGAGGUCUGGGAUAGCUGCGGGAAACUGCAGGUAAUACCGGAUAUUGUCUUCGGACCAAAGGUGUGAUUCCACCUUGGGAGGGGCCUGCAUCCUAUUAGCUUGUUGGCGGGGUAACGGCCCACCAAGGCAACGAUGGGUAGCGGGUGUGAGAGCACGACCCGCGUCAUUGGGACUGAGAUACUGCCCAGACACCUACGGGUGGCUGCAGUCGAGGAUCUUCGGCAAUGGGCGAAAGCCUGAACAAGCGACGCCGCGUGCGGGAUGAAGGCCUUCGGGUUGUAAACCGCUGUCGUAGGGGAACAAAUGUACGGGGGUACUCCCCUGUAUUUGAGUGAUCCUAGGAGGAAGGAGAGGCUAAGCUCGUGCCAGCCGCCGCAGUAA